GGGCCGGUAGCUUAGCCUGGUUGGAGCGUUCGACUGAUAAACGUUUCAGCGGUCUUUCGGACAUCGAAAGGUCGAGAGUUCUCGCGAAAUUUUCCUUUUUGGAAAAUUGGCGGCUCAAAAAUCUCUCCCGGCCCA
rnacentral:tRNA from 1 species